GUUUAUAAAAUUGUCGAUGUAGUUGGGCAGUAUACCGUUUAUCAAUCGCUCGUUAUUGUAUAGUGGGCAAUGGCUUAUAAUAUGAGUAACCGUGAUGGCCGUAUUGCAGUGAUUACAUUGUCUUGACGGUGCAUUUUCACGUUGUCCUCUCUCGAAGCAUCUUGUAGCGUGUAUAGUGUCGUUGGAAUAGGUUUUAUCUGCGACAGGUGCCUUCUGAUGUCACUUGCCACCAUGAAAUUUACAUCUGUCUGCUGGUUCGAUAUCGCU